rnacentral:rRNA from 1 species
GACGAACGCUGGCGGCGUGCUUAACACAUGCAAGUCGAACGGAAAGGCCCUGCUUUUGUGGGGUGCUCGAGUGGCGAACGGGUGAGUAACACGUGAGUAACCUGCCCUUGACUUUGGGAUAACUUCAGGAAACUGGGGCUAAUGCCGGAUAGGAGCUCCUGCUGCAUGGCGGGGGUUGGAAAGUUUCGGCGGUUGGGGAUGGACUCGCGGCUUAUCAGCUUGUUGGUGGGGUAGUGGCUUACCAAGGCUUUGACGGGUAGCCGGCCUGAGAGGGUGACCGGCCACAUUGGGACUGAGAUACGGCCCAGACUCCUACGGGAGGCAGCAGUGGGGAAUAUUGCACAAUGGGCGGAAGCCUGAUGCAGCAACGCCGCGUGCGGGAUGACGGCCUUCGGGUUGUAAACCGCUUUCGCCUGUGACGAAGCGUGAGUGACGGUAAUGGGUAAAGAAGCACCGGCUAACUACGUG